rnacentral:rRNA from 1 species
AGUUGCGAGGCAAACGGGUUAGUAACACAUAGGAAUCUGCCCCAAAGUCGUGAAUAAUUCGGAGAAAUCCGAAAUAAUACACGAUGUGCUCUACGGAGUAAAGCUUUAGUGCUUUGGGAGGAGCCUGUGUCCUAUCAGCUUGUUGGUGAGGUAAUAGCUCACCAAGGCUAUGACGGGUAGGGGGUGUGAGAGCAUGACCCCCAACAUUGGAACUGAGACACUGUUCAA